rnacentral:rRNA from 1 species
GACGAACGCUGGCGGCGUGCCUAACACAUGCAAGUCGAGCGAAUGAAGUUCCUUCGGGAAUGGAUUUAGCGGCGGACGGGUGAGUAACACGUGGGCAACCUGCCUCAUAGAGGGGAAUAGCCUCCCGAAAGGGAGAUUAAUACCGCAUAAGAUUGUAGUACCGCAUGAUACAGCAAUUAAAGGAGCAAUCCACUAUGAGAUGGGCCCGCGGCGCAUUAGCUAGUUGGUGAGGUAAUGGCUCACCAAGGCGACGAUGCGUAGCCGACCUGAGAGGGUGAUCGGCCACAUUGGGACUGAGACACGGCCCAGACUCCUACGGGAGGCAGCAGUGGGGAAUAUUGCACAAUGGGGGAAACCCUGAUGCAGCAACGCCGCGUGAGUGAUGACGGCCUUCGGGUUGUAAAGCUCUGUCUUCAGGGACGAUAAUGACGGUACCUGAGGAGGAAGCCACGGCUAACUACGUG